UACCUCAGGAAGUCCACUGUCUGUGUGUC
rnacentral:piRNA from 1 species